rnacentral:rRNA from 1 species
GACGAACGCUGGCGGCAGGCCUAACACAUGCAAGUCGAGCGGCAGCGGAAAGUAGCUUGCUACUUUGCCGGCGAGCGGCGGACGGGUGAGUAAUGUCUGGGAAACUGCCUGAUGGAGGGGGAUAACUACUGGAAACGGUAGCUAAUACCGCAUGACCUCGAAAGAGCAAAGUGGGGGAUCUUCGGACCUCACGCCAUCGGAUGUGCCCAGAUGGGAUUAGCUAGUAGGUGAGGUAAUGGCUCACCUAGGCGACGAUCCCUAGCUGGUCUGAGAGGAUGACCAGCCACACUGGAACUGAGACACGGUCCAGACUCCUACGGGAGGCAGCAGUGGGGAAUAUUGCACAAUGGGCGCAAGCCUGAUGCAGCCAUGCCGCGUGUGUGAAGAAGGCCUUAGGGUUGUAAAGCACUUUCAGCGAGGAGGAAGGCAUCAUACUUAAUACGUGUGGUGAUUGACGUUACUCGCAGAAGAAGCACCGGCUAACUCCGUGCCAGCAGCCGCGGUAAUACGGAGGGUGCAAGCGUUAAUCGGAAUUACUGGGCGUAAAGCGCACGCAGGCGGUUUGUUAAGUCAGAUGUGAAAUCCCCGCGCUUAACGUGGGAACUGCAUUUGAAACUGGCAAGCUAGAGUCUUGUAGAGGGGGGUAGAAUUCCAGGUGUAGCGGUGAAAUGCGUAGAGAUCUGGAGGAAUACCGGUGGCGAAGGCGGCCCCCUGGACAAAGACUGACGCUCAGGUGCGAAAGCGUGGGGAGCAAACAGG